rnacentral:rRNA from 1 species
CAGCCGCCGCGGUAAUACGAAGGGUGCAAGCGUUAAUCGGAAUUACUGGGCGUAAAGCGUGCGUAGGCGGUUUGUUAAGUCUGUUGUGAAAUCCCCGGGCUCAACCUGGGAAUGGCAAUGGAUACUGGCAAGCUAGAGUGUGUCAGAGGAUGGUGGAAUUUCCGGUGUAGCAGUGAAAUGCGUAGAGAUCGGAAGGAACAUCUGUGGCGAAGGCGACUAUCUGGGCCAACACUGACACUGAGGCACGAAAGCGUGGGGAGCAAACAGGAUUAGAUACCCCUGUAGUCCCUGUCUCUUAUAC